GACGAAGGUGGCGAGCGUUACUCGGAAUUACUAGGCGUAAAGCGUGGGCAGGCGGCUCGGUCAGUCUGUUGUGAAAGCUCCCGGCUUAACCGGGAGAGGCCAAUGGAUACUGCCGGGCUUGAAUCGGGGAGGGGUCACUGGAAUUCCUGGUGUAGCGGUGAAAUGCGUAGAUAUCGGGAGGAACACCAGUGGCGAAGGCGGCGAUCUGGACGGAUAUUGACGCUGAGGUGCGAAAGCGUGGGGAGCAAACAGG
rnacentral:rRNA from 1 species